rnacentral:rRNA from 1 species
GACUCCACGAAGCUGGAUUCGCUAGUAAUCGCGCAUCAGCCACGGCGCGGUGAAUACGUUCCCGGGCCUUGUACACACCGCCCGUCAAGCCAUGGGAGCCGGGGUACCUGAAGUGCGUAACCGCGAGGAUCGCCCUAGGGUAAACUGGUGACUGGGGCUAAGUCGUAACAAGGUAAC